CGGGACGGGGUGAGUAAUGUCUGGGAAACUGCCCGAUGGAGGGGGAUAACUACUGGAAACGGUAGCUAAUACCGCAUAACGUCGCAAGACCAAAGAGGGGGACCUUCGGGCCUCUUGCCAUCGGAUGUGCCCAGAUGGGAUUAGCUAGUAGGUGGGGUAACGGCUCACCUAGGCGACGAUCCCUAGCUGGUCUGAGAGGAUGACCAGCCACACUGGAACUGAGACACGGUCCAG
rnacentral:rRNA from 1 species